UACGUAGGGCGCAAGCGUUAUCCGGAAUUAUUGGGCGUAAAGAGCUCGUAGGCGGUUUGUCGCGUCUGCCGUGAAAGUCCGGGGCUCAACUCCGGAUCUGCGGUGGGUACGGGCAGACUAGAGUGAUGUAGGGGAGACUGGAAUUCCUGGUGUAGCGGUGAAAUGCGCAGAUAUCAGGAGGAACACCGGUGGCGAAGGCGGGUCUCUGGGCCGAAACUGACGCUGAGGAGCGAAAGCAUGGGUAGCGAACAGG
rnacentral:rRNA from 1 species